GCAUGAUUCAUUUGUCACAAUGCCAGCAACGAAGUUGUCUAUGGCUGCACUGCAGCUACAAUUCACGAGAUCACCCUUACUAAUUAAACGCUGCCCUCGUAUAAACGCUGCACCCAAAAUGAACGUUAUUUAAUAAACGCCGCAGCGUUUAUUCGAAGAAAUAUGGUAGUUGUUGCAACAGCAUGUGAAAAAAACUACAAGGUUUGCUAGGCCAAAAAGAACGUUAAUCUUGCGAUAAAAGAAUUUACGCCAUUAAAAUGGGUUUGCAUUAACGCCGUUAAUAACGCGUUUAACUGACAGCACUAGUAUUUAGAGGUUUAGUAUACUGUAUUGAAUAUUGUAUAUCUUAUAUAUCAGGAGGUUACUAUAUUUUAGCUUAUCAUAGAUGUAAUCUAUGUUCUGUGUUCUUAUAUGUUAUGUUAUGCCAGGUUGCUUUGCGUUGUCUUGUCCUAAGAAUUUCAGUGCCAUGUCUGACCCUGUGUUGUUCUGUGCAUCUGACAAUAAAAGACUUGAACUUGAACAUCAUUGGUGCCUCAGUUCCCAAAGACAACAUGCAGUGUCCUUCAUUGCUCAAAGGUACUGUAGUGGUUGUCCCAGUCCAAUAUGCUGUGUCCAAUAUCUCAGUAAUAGUGAGCUUAAUGUUAAUGCAGCUUAUUCUUUCACGUUCUUCCAAUGUAGUCCAUGCACCAUAAUAAGAGUGAUAUUUGUUCCAAUAAAAAAAAAAAAACUUUAAUUAAAAUCGAGCUCCCCAAAGUCCAAAUAGGCUAGUUACAAAACAGAUCACAACUGUCAGUGUCAGUGUGGUGUUAUUUCCUCCUCAUCCUCAAGCCAACAAUUGUCAAGCAUGCUUUCGAGUGGCCUAAACUACCACCUCCCACAACGCCGGUACAACAAUUAAAAUGUAAUUCUUUUGAAUUCCUCAAGUGGUUAAAGAGAAAAUGUGUCACAACCAUUGUUUAAAACAACAUUUUAGAAAAGCUUUCACUCCACUUUUCUCUUUCCCUUUCUGUGUCUCGUUCUGGUCUAUUGGUGGCUGUUCUGCUGGGUUCUCACAGUCAAUGGGUUAACACUGGAGGAUAGGGAACUGUUCAGCUCUGGGGCCGUGGUGGGUUGCCAGAUUCUCUAAACUCAGCAGGGACCUCCAUCCUUAGACUCUCUGCUGUCCCAUCGCCUCAUUGACAACUGAUUUUCUGCGAGUUUUGGUGAAUCGCAGUGUGUUUUCUGGCACGAGCGGGGUGCGUAAAAAGCUUUGAACAAUGACAUGUUGGUCGGCAGGUUCUCUUAGAACCCCCACUGGGUAAACAAAGCCUCAAGCAGCACUUGAGUGUGUGGGUGAGGGCUUAUCUGGCAACCUGUGAGCUACCACCUUCCAAUUGAGCUUUGGAUUACAAUAACCUGCAUUGUCUGAUAACCAAAGCAGCCAUCUGCGUAAUAGUCAAGAGACCUCCUGCAUGGUAGUUAUGAGCUGAGAUUGUCCAUCAACACAAUUUCACAGAACAUAUCACUGUAUUGACCAAAGCCAUGUCUAAACUUAAAUAGAAAUAGCAAAAAAUUGAAGUUUGUUUUCCUACUGGCCCUCAUGCUGUCUCUUUCCUGUCUCCUUGUGUUGUGGUUCUGCUGUGGUUUCUCUAUGGUACAGAUAAGUGAGGGAGUACUUAGUAGACAGGGCGUGGAGGCUUUGUUGAGGAUAUAUGAUCCGGUUCAGCUUUCCUGGAAAGCCAUCAGACAGAACUUUCUCAUCUUGGACCGCAACUGCAGUGGCAAAAUCUCCAUUCAGGACUUCAGGAAGGUGCUGAGACAAUUCAGUGUGAACUUGACUGAAGAAGAAGUCUUUCACCUCACCUCCUGCUUUGACAACAAUACCACAGGGAGGAUAUUAUACAAUGACCUCCUGCACGCCUUCUUGUACCCAUCACGCAACCUCUAUAAGAGGACCCGUGGUUUCUUACAGUAUUUGUUUUUUGAAUGUUUAUUGAUAGUAGUAUGUUUAUUGAAGAUUAAUCCAUACUCAGGGUACUUACUCCUAGUCUCCAAAAAACGGACACAAUUAUAGUAAAUGAAUACAAGGACUAUAAUUAUUCUGAGAUAUAAUUACUCUGAGAUGUAUUUGUCACUCUCUUUCUUUCUGUUGUGUGGCCAUUUUGACAGUGAUUGUUCUCUGUAGCCAACCAAAUAAAGUGCUUUGGAAUUGUU